rnacentral:rRNA from 1 species
AGAGUUUGAUCAUGGCUCAGGACGAACGCUGGCGGCGUGCCUAACACAUGCAAGUCGAACGGAGUAAAGCCCUUCGGGACUUUACUUAGUGGCGAACGGGUGAGUAACGCGUGAGGAACCUGCCUUUCAGUGGGGGACAACAGUUGGAAACGACUGCUAAUACCGCAUGACGCUUCUUGGGGGCAUCCCCGAGAAGUCAAAGAUUUAUUGCUGAAAGAUGGCCUCGCGUCUGAUUAGCUAGUUGGCGGGGUAACGGCCCACCAAGGCGACGAUCAGUAGCCGGUCUGAGAGGAUGAACGGCCACAUUGGGACUGAGAUACGGCCCAGACUCCUACGGGAGGCA